CUUGGCACUGGGAGAAUUCACAGUUGACUUUUACAAUACUCUGUGGUUCUUUGGGUGCCAAAAC
rnacentral:pre_miRNA from 1 species